rnacentral:rRNA from 1 species
GUGGGGAAUCUUCCACAAUGGACGAAAGUCUGAUGGAGCAACGCCGCGUGAGUGAAGAAGGUCUUCGGAUCGUAAAACUCUGUUGUUAGAGAAGAACGUGCAUGAUAGUAACUGAUCAUGUAAUGACGGUAUCUAACCAGAAAGCCACGGCUAACUACGUGCCAGCAGCCUCGGUAAUACGUAGGUGGCAAGCGUUGUCCGGAUUUAUUGGGCGUAAAGGGAACGCAGGCGGUUUUUUAAGUCUGAUGUGAAAGCCUUCGGCUUAACCGAAGAAUAGCAUUGGAAACUGGAAGACUUGAGUGCAGAAGAGGAGAGUGGAAUUCCAUGUGUAGCGGUGAAAUGCGUAGAUAUAUGGAGGAACACCAGUGGCGAAAGCGGCUCUCUGGUCUGUAACUGACGCUGAGGUUCGAAAGCGUGGGUAGCAAACAGGAUUAGAAACCCCUGUAGUCC